CUGAAAGGCUCAAGUUUAAUGGGGUAUUGGGCCUGCGGGGACUCAAAUUCGGGGUAGUCUCAGGACUGUUGCUACUAGAGGUUUACAAUAGGCUUUUUCUAAGUAACAGGGAGGAUCAGAACCUUUUCUGUUACAGCUGCCACAAGUUAAUUGGGUGUGCUAUCAGUUUCUGCAUAAAACAAGGCACUAAGUUUGCAAGUUUAGAUCUUUGCAUUUUGGCUUAGCUUGUUGGCUCGUUGAGAGCUGAAGAAGCGGUUACGCAGCAUUCUGAGGCUGAAGACUGAAGCCGCUUGAAGUGCUGAUUAUUUAUGGCAAAGAUAAGAACAUUCUACUAAUAACAAAGUAAAGAGAGUGUAUUGUUUGCAGUGUGUUUGCAUGUCAUCAUUUAAAGAAGAAGACUCAUCGGCGAUAUUGUUUGUAAUAUUGUUUGAUUCUUCCUGAACAAUGAAGCCAUCUCCUUUUGCCACCCUAAGAAAAGAAAUCUGCAAUUUUCAUAAAAGUCAAGAAAUAACCAAUUAGGACCUGCGUAUGAUGUUAAAAGGAGUAAAAAGUCUUGAUUGACCUUAGCAGUUGGUGGGUUUUCCUAUCAAUGAGAAGCAGAAAAGCAUCUAUAGGAGAGAAAUUAUGUUCUCUGGUAAGUAAGUACCAACCAGUUUGAACUCUUCAACAACGACUAAUGAUUGUUUGAUCUCUUUAAAUAUUGUCAACUGUCUUCAUUAUAAUUUCAUGUAAUGUUUCUUUAUUUUCUUUCUACUCCAUUUCUCAUUUUUACUUUUGCAGACAAUAAUAGAAAUCGGGUGUAAAAUACGUCACAUCCAGGUUUGCCUAGACAAAGCCCUUUUCUUACUAUAUUUUUCU